UGUUCCAUAUUUGAACACCACUUAUAUUCUACUCUUACCUAAAAUACAUAUGGAUGAACUGCUCCAAAAAAUCCAAUUUACUGCGCUGAUUGAAGCACGAAAAUUGACUGUCAAUCUCAGUGAACCGUUGGCAGCUAAAAACAUAAUUCAAACUCUGAAAGUUAGUUUACUUUGAACAAGAGUAGCAAAAAAUUCAUACUCUGAUUUUUCGCUAAUUAUUACAAACAGAAAACUAAAAUGUCCCCAUCAUGGAUAAUGUCACUGAUAGUUUCUUUUCUCAGUGUCACAAGAGCGAAUAGCUGUGAAUUUAUAAGGGAGCCAAUGUGUGGAGAGCAGUUCACGGCUGGCAAUUACACGAUGACUCAGUUUCCUAACCUACAGCAUCAUGAGCUCGCGUCUGAGGCGAGUCAGGAAAUGAACAGCUUUUGGCCACUGGUCCAACUGCAAUGCUCUGACAAACUACAAACUUUCCUCUGUUCCAUCUACUUCCCCGUCUGUCUGCCCGGUUUGGAUGGAACUCUUGGCCCCUGUCGAGAGCUGUGCGAGGAAACCAAGUUCGGAUGUGGCCCCAUCUUGAAGUCAUACAGUUUUGAGUGGCCGUUUCCAUGCGAACAGUAUAAGAAAUGCUAGCCCCAUUUUCUGAAUCAACAAAUAAUGUUAAGCCAUGAAUCAAAACUGGGCAGUUAGUUUGUGGGAGAUGUGCA